GGUGUGACAGCCGGUUUAAAAUAAAUCAGGGCUCAACCACCUGUCAGUGUGGUGCUGAGUCCCAGCCAGAGAGCUUCUCAUUGUACCUGAACUGCUGUGGAAAGUCUAGAAAGAUGACAUCGGAGACCAAACAGUCAAUUUUUAAAGGAGUGAAUCUCAACUGUGAGACAAACAACACAGAACAUGGCACCAAAAAAAUCUCAAAGGAUCAGCUGAUUGUGAGGCGAGGCCAGCGGUUCACCGUGAAAGUUGAACUGACACAGCCGUUCAACCCCGAUCUUUACCCGCUCACCUUUACAGCAGUAACAGG